CAGUCUCCACGGUAAUACGGAGGGGGCUAGCGUUGUUCGGAAUUACUGGGCGUAAAGGGUGCGUAGGCGGACUGUCAAGUCUGGGGUGAAAUCCGGCAGCUCAACUGUCGAACUGCCUCAGAUACUGAUGGUCUCGAGGAAGGUAGGGGCAUGCGGAACUGUAGGUGGAGCGGUGAAAUGCGUUGAUAUCUACAGGAACUCCGGUGGCGAAAGCGGCGUGCUGGACCUUUUCUGACGCUGAGGCACGAAAGCUAGGGGAGCAAACAGGAUUAGAUACCCCCGUAGUCCCUGUCUCUUAUAC
rnacentral:rRNA from 1 species